AUGAACGCUAGCGGUGCGCCUAACACAUGCAAGUCGAGCGCCCUCACUUUGCCUUCGAAAGAUCGAAGGCAGUGUGAGGGAGCGGCGAACGGGUGAGUAACACGUUGGAACCUACCCCAGACUCCGGGAUAGCCCGCCGAAAGGUGGAUUAAUACCGGAUAGUCUCGUAAGAGUAGAGCUUUUGCGGUCUGGGCGGGGCCUGCGGCCUAUCAGCUAGUUGGUAAGGUAAUGGCAUACCAAGGCUAUGACGGGUAACUGGUGUGAGAGCAUGACCAGUCACAAUGGAACGGAGACACGGUCCAUACUCCUACGGGAGGCAGCAGUGAGGAAUCUUCCGCAAUGGGCGAAAGCCUGACGGAGCGACACCGCGUGGAGGACGAAGGCCUUUUGGUGGUAAACUCCUUUUCUGGGGGAAUAAAUGAUGAAGGUACCCCAGGAAUAAGCACCGGCUAACUACGU
rnacentral:rRNA from 1 species